GAUUGCAGAUGUGGGAUGUGACCGCUGGCUGCUUCCGGUCCCCCCUGCUCUUGAUUGCAGAUGUGGGAUGUGACCGCUGGCUGCUUCCGGUCCCCCCUGCUUUGGUGUGUUAUCUGCUUCCCGUUCCUGCUGCCUUGACUUCCCCACCUUAGUGGACGGUAACACGGAUUUGUGAGCAAAAGUACGUGAAUGUGGAUGCAAUACAGAUAGAGAUCAGAAGAGGGCAUCAGAUCCUCCUGGCGCCUUGUAUGGGUCCUGGGAACUGAACCCUGUAAGAGCAGCAAGUUCUCUUAACUGCUGAGCCGUCUCUACUGCCCUUGAAACAUCCUUUUGAAAGGACACUCUCAAGUUAUACUUUGCUGUACUGAGUAGGGCCUGAAUCCAGGGCCUUGCAUUUGUAUGGUCUCAGCCGAUGUCCACGGAUGUCAUCUUCCACCCCUGCUGAUUUCUAAUUCUCUCUGCUUCAAGAGGGCCUCGCGCGACGUAGGCAUAAACGAAUAUGUGAAUGGAUGGCACAGACACCACAGAAGAAGAAAAAUCUUUUCCUCAUUGCUUUUCAGCCAGAUCUGAGGCAGAAUUCCGACCCCUGACCUGGAUCCAGCGCUCAGAACCUCAGGGUUUGGAGGUCGAGGAUCCUGGUGCCCCUAGCCCAAGGAGGACAAUAAAGGCCACCUCUGGAGAGAUGGUCAUUCCAACGGAGGAAAUUAAAACAAAAUUGAAUUAACUAUUCCUCUUAUUGAACCCUGCUUCUUGAGUGUGCUAAGUGUCCGAUUAAACAAA